UACAGAGGGUGCGAGCGUUAAUCGGAAUUACUGGGCGUAAAGCGUGCGUAGACGGUUAUUUAAGUCGGGUGUGAAAGCCCCGGGCUCAACCUGGGAAUUGCAUUCGAGACUGAAUAGCUAGGGUACGGUAGAGGGAAGUGGAAUUUCCGGUGUAGCGGUGAAAUUCGUAGAUAUUCGGAAGAACACCAGUGGCGAAGGCGGCUCACUGGACUGGUAUUGACGCUGAGGUGCGAAAGCGUGGGGAGCAAACAGGG
rnacentral:rRNA from 1 species